rnacentral:rRNA from 1 species
ACGAACGCUGGCGGCGUGCCUAAUACAUGCAAGUCGAACGGUCUUUCUAUGGAAGCUUGCUUCCGCUGAGAAGAUAGUGGCGAACGGGUGAGUAACACGUGGGUAACCUGCCCAUAAGAGGGGGAUAACAUCCGGAAACGGGUGCUAAUACCGCAUAGUUUUCUUGAUCGCAUGAUCGGGAAAGAAAAGACGGCCUUUGUGCUGUCGCUUAUGGAUGGACCCGCGGCGUAUUAGUUAGUUGGUGAGGUAACGGCUCACCAAGACGAUGAUACGUAGCCGACCUGAGAGGGUGAUCGGCCACAUUGGGACUGAGACACGGCCCAAACUCCUACGGGAGGCAGCAGUAGGGAAUCUUCCGCAAUGGACGAAAGUCUGACGGAGCAACGCCGCGUGAGUGAAGAAGGUUUUCGGAAUCGUAAAACUCUGUUGUCAGAGAAGAACAAGUUGGAGAGUAACUGCUCCAGCCUUGACGGUAUCUGACCAGAAAGCCACGGCUAACUACGUGCCAGCAGCAGC